rnacentral:rRNA from 1 species
UGAAUACGAGAUGCUACGGCGUCGAAGCAGUCUAUGUCAUACUUCCAAGAAAAGCUUGCACUGUCAUAAACAAAUAAUGCCUGUACCAUAACCGACACAGGUGGGUAGGUAGAGUAUACUAAGGGGCGCGAGAUAACUCUCUCUAAGGAACUCGGCAAAAUGACUCCGUAACUUCGGGAGAAGGAGUGCCUUAUUUUAUAAGGUUGCAAUAACAAGAUCCAAGCAACUGUUUACCAAAAACACAGGUCUCCGCUAAGUCGUAAGACGAUGUAUGGGGGCUGACGCCUGCCCAGUGCCAGAAGGUUAAAGAAGUUGGUUAGCAUCCGCGAAGCUGAUAACUGAAGCCCUGGUGAACGGCGGCCGUAACCAUAACGGUCCUAAGGUAGCGAAAUUCCUUGUCGGGUAAGUUCCGACCCGCACGAAAGGCGUAAUGAUUUGGAUACUGUCUCAGAGAGGGGCUCGGUGAAAUAGACUUGUCUGUGAAGAUGCGGACUACCUGCACCAGGACAGAAGGACCCUAUGAAGCUUUACUGUAACUUGAAAUUGAAAUUGGACUUUACUUGCGCAGUAUAGGUGGGAGGCGUUGAGAAUAUUCUUGCGGGAAUGUUGGAGCCAUCAGUGAGAUACCACUCUUGUAAUGUUAGAUUUCUAACUUUGUAUCAUUAUCUGGUCAAAGGACAGUUUCAGGCGGGCAGUUUGACUGGGGCGGUCGCCUCCCAAACGGUAACGGAGGCGCACAAAGGUUUCCUCUGAACGGGUAGAAAUCGUAUCUAGAGUGUAAAGGCAUAAGGAAGCUUGACUGAGACCUACAAGUCGAGCAGGGACGAAAGUCUGUCUUAGUGAUCUGACGGUGCUGAGUGGAAAGGCCGUCACUCAACGGAUAAAAGUUACUCUAGGAUAACAGGCUGAUCUCCCCCAAGAGUUCACAUCGACGGGGAGGUUUGGCACCUCGAUGUCGGCUCAUCGCAUCCUGGGGCGGUAGUACGUCCCAAGGGUUGGGCUGUUCGCCCAUGAAAGCGGUACGCGAGCUGGGUUCAGAACGUCGUGAGACAGUUCGGCCCAUAUCCGGUGUAGGCGUUAGAAUAUUGAGAGGAGCCUUCUUUAGUACGAGAGGACCGAGAAGGACAUACCUCUGGUGUACCAGUUAUCGUGCCAACGGUAAACGCUGGGUAGCUAUGUAUGGAGUGGAUAACCGCUGAAAGCAUCUAAGUGGGAAGCCCACCUCAAGAUAAG